UAAAAAAUCGCUCGCAUAGAAAUCAAUUUAUAAAAUCGAUGAAUCGACCAAAAAAGAUCGAUUUUGCAAAAAUCGGAUCGAUCUUGCCCAUUGCUACUAUCAAAGGGGACACCUUGAGCUUUCGACUGAUGAGUAUAAGAGCGAUACUAGUUUUUUUCGGAUAAGUUUCUUCUACCAGAGACACCGUGACUACAUACCUUCUUCGAUUUUCGAAACAGGAUUAUUUGGUACCUAUGGCUUCAGGUUACAUACAACAGGUGCUGCGGUCGCUGUGGGUGAAUAAAUCUUCGACUACUAUUAACUAUGCCUUCCGAAC